rnacentral:rRNA from 1 species
CUUCGGGGUGGAUUAGUGGCGAACGGGUGAGUAACACGUGGGCAAUCUGCCCUUCACUCUGGGACAAGCCCUGGAAACGGGGUCUAAUACCGGAUAACACCGGCUUCUGCAUGGAAGCUGGUUGAAAGCUCCGGCGGUGAAGGAUGAGCCCGCGGCCUAUCAGCUUGUUGGUGGGGUAAUGGCCUACCAAGGCGACGACGGGUAGCCGGCCUGAGAGGGCGACCGGCCACACUGGGACUGAGACACGGCCCAGACUCCUACGGGAGGCAGCAGUGGGGAAUAUUGCACAAUGGGCGAAAGCCUGAUGCAGCGACGCCGCGUGAGGGAUGACGGCCUUCGGGUUGUAAACCUCUUUCAGCAGGGAAGAAGCGAAAGUGACGGUACCUGCAGAAGAAGCGCCGGCUAACUACGUGCCAGCAGCCGCGGUAAUACGUAGGGCGCAAGCGUUGUCCGGAAUUAUUGGGCGUAAAGAGCUCGUAGGCGGCUUGUCACGUCGGGUGUGAAAGCCCGGGGCUUAACCCCGGGUCUGCAUCCGAUACGGGCAGGCUAGAGUGUGGUAGGGGAGAUCGGAAUUCCUGGUGUAGCGGUGAAAUGCGCAGAUAUCAGGAGGAACACCGGU